AUUUAAAUAGUUUAAAUUUAAAACUUUGAUUUGUGGGGUCAAUAAUAUAAAAUUUUAUUUUAAAUU
rnacentral:tRNA from 1 species